ACGAACGCUGGCGGCGUGCUUAACCCCUGCCAGUCGCACGGAAAGGCCCUGCUUUUGUGGGGUGCUCGAGUGGCGAACGGGUGAGUAACACGUGAGUAACCUGCCCUUGACUUUGGGAUAACUUCAGGAAACUGGGGCUAAUACCGGAUAGGAGCUCCUGCUGCAUGGUGGGGGGUGGAAAGUUUCGGCGGUUGGGGAUGGACUCGCGGCUUAUCAGCUUGUUGGUGGGGUAGUGGCUUACCAAGGCUUUGACGGGUAGCCGGCCUGAGAGGGUGACCGGCCACAUUGGGACUGAGAUACGGCCCAGACUCCUACGGGAGGCAGCAGUGGGGAAUAUUGCACAAUGGGCGGAAGCCUGAUGCAGCAACGCCGCGUGCGGGAUGACGGCCUUCGGGUUGUAAACCGCUUUCGCCUGUGACGAAGCGUGAGUGACGGUAAUGGGUAAAGAAGCACCGGCUAACUACGUG
rnacentral:rRNA from 1 species